CUAGUACUCUCUUCGUCCGAAAAUAUUUAUCAUUAAAAUAAACAAAAAGGAAUGUAUCUAGAACUAAAAUAUAUCUAGAUAUAUCUUUUUUUAUUCAUUUUGAUGACAAGUAUUUCUGGACGGAGGGAGUACGUG
rfam:Triticum aestivum genome assembly, contig: Triticum_aestivum_CS42_TGACv1_scaffold_160769_2DL